rnacentral:rRNA from 1 species
UACAGAGGGUGCAAGCGUUGUUCGGAAUUAUUGGGUGUAAAGGGCGCGUAGGCGGUGCGGUAAGUCCGCAGUGAAAUCUCUGGGCUCAACUCAGAGUCUGCUGUGGAAACUGCCGUGCUUGAGUGUGGGAGAGGUGAGUGGAAUUCCCGGUGUAGCGGUGAAAUGCGCAGAUAUCAGGAAGAACACCCGUGGCGAAAGCGGCUCUCUGGAACGGUACUGACGCUGAGACGCGAAAGCGUGGGGAGCGAACAGG